rnacentral:lncRNA from 12 species
ACUCACAACAUAGAGCCCCAUCCAACUGGUGAAUGAAAAUACUGCAGGGUAACCAUACUUUCAUUUUUCUUAUUCUUCAGACCUUUCAGUGUCUAAGUUAGGGGGCCCAGAGCAGAGGUGAUUAUGAAAUGUGUGUCUUUCCAGCUUUGCUUUCUUAAAGCCUGGAUUUAUUGAGAUCAUGCCAAGGACUUUUGAGGACAAUGCAAACAGGGGUGAGGGAUGGUAGGGGUGACUUAAUUAAGACCAAUAAAAAUUUGGGGGAAAAAGAGGGUUCAGAAAGAAAGGAUACCCCAGAUCAGCUGAUAAAAAUACCCUAAGGAAACUGAUGAACCUUAGAGAAAAUGUCUGAAUGGUAUGCAUAGGAGGUCUGGACUUCCAUGAGUUUCUAGAUUUCUGAGGUGCAGGUGCUGAACUGCUCUGAGGAACAAUGUGGUCAAGGUAAUAAUCAGAAGCCACUGGGGACUGGAGGGUAUUAUGCUGAGUGAAGUAAGCCAGUCAGAGAAGGACAAACAUUAUAUGUUCUCAUUCAUUUGGGGAAUAUAAAUAAUAGUGAAAGGGAAUAUAAGGGAAGGGGGAAGAAAUGUGUGGGAAAUAUCAGAAAGGGAGACAGAACGUAAAGACUGUUAACUCUGGGAAACGAACUAGGGGUGGUGGAAGGGGAGGAGGGCGGGGGGUGGGAGUGAAUGGGUGACGGGCACUGGGGGUUAUUCUGUAUGUUAGUAAAUUGAACACCAAUAAAAAAUAAGUUAAAAAAAAAAAAAAAAAGAAGCCACUGGGGACUGAGGACCAGAGAAGCCCCUUCCUACCUUGAUGUGCCCAGUUUUAAGGAAAAUGGAUUGGUUAGAUGGAGAGCAUAGCACAUGAAGUUGACUUCUCAGGAUAAAUCAUAUUUAGAAAUACAGAGAGAGAGGAGAGAAAAGGGUGUGCAAAAGUCCAAAGCAAGAAGCUACUACCAACUAGAGGUAGUACUGAAAGGAACAGCAUACAACUUCUUCAUGCUUUAGAUUGAAAAAAGUGAGUCUUCUCCUAGGUCUGAACUUAGUCAGAAUGCCUUUAAUUGGAAUCUGAGGCCCAACUUUCAAAUGGUCAUCUAACGUUUGUCUAUUUGCCUUGCUCUGUUGGAUUAUGUCUUGUGCAUAUAUCCCCUCAGGAAACUGAUGGAGUUUUGUCUUACUAUCUGACUUAAAAUAGCCAACCUCUCUUUCUCUAUAUAUCCUUGUCUUACUAUGCUUCCUUCAUAACACUUAUUACACCGAGAAAUUAUAUAUGUGUAUUUAUAUAUCUGUAUAUUCUUUUAUCUGUCUUCCACAAUUAAACACAUGCUAUGUGAGAUCAAGAACUUUGUUCUGUCUUGAUCACCUGGAACAGAAUGGACACUCAAGAAGUACUCAUUGAACAAGGGUAUAUACCCUACAAAGACUCCCAGUGAGUCAUAACUUUGUGUAAUUCCCUCUUCUUGAAUAUAGACAGACCUGGUGAUUUGCUUCUAGCCAACAGAAUAUGGUAAACAUGAAAGGAUUUUUUUAGAUUUAGUUAAGAUCCCAAAUCAGUUGACUUUGAAUUAAUUAAAAGGAAGAUUAUCCUUGGAUCUGACUUAAUGAGGUGAAAUUCUUAAAAAAAAAUCUCUAUGUCUUAUUAAUGUCACUACUUAAUAGCAUCCUGUUCCAUUACUCCACAUCAGAUAUUUAUGAAUGUAAAAGGAAUUAAGGUUAAUGGGGUUUCUUUAUACACACAUUUACACUCUUAAUUUUUAAUAUUUAACUGAUGGUUACUGUAAACUUCUUCAAGGAGUACCCAUCUAAUUAGUAUAGUAAAACGUUUGAAUGAGAUUGAAAGAUGCUUUCAAAGUUACAUGCAAGAGUCGACAGCAAAUUGAAUUGAUGAUAAGUGAUUGGACAGACUUAAGGUAGAAGUAAAAGUUAAUUAAAAGAUGGCAAUUUUAUCUUUUUUUCCUGAGUCUUCUUGCAGAGUUAUUCCUACUAUAUUUUAUCUUCUGUAUGUACCAUUUAUAAUUUGCUUUCAUGUUAUAUAACAUACAAUUUCAUUCAAACCCUUGACUAUAAAUGCUAUAUACAAAGAUGAUUCCAAAAUCAUUGUCUGAUUGGCAAAUUGAACACCAAUAAAAAAUAAAUUUAUUAUUAAAAAAAAAUUGUU